rnacentral:lncRNA from 1 species
UGGUGACAACUUUUCUUCAUUUUUUUUCCCUUUUGUCUGACUAUGAUUUAUUUCUACUGAAGUUGACCACCAUUACUGCUGUGAUUCAUAGAUCUACAUGUUUUUGUAAAUUUCACUUGGUAUUUUGUUCCGAUCUAGAGCUGUGUGCUGCUAUUAUGAUUUUAAUGUAACCGUGACUGGGUUGUCUGGAUUGUGUUUUCAUGUCAAGUAAGAGUAUGGAUUUUGCAGCGAUCCUGGAUCUCAUCUGUUUAUUUCCUGAUUUAAAGAACUUCUUUGUGUGAUUUCUCUUAUGUUGCUAACUUUGGAAAUCAAAGUUCCAAUCAUCAAACGAACUUGUGCUAGCAGUUUAGAGGAGGUUGCUCUCAAUACAGAAAUCUAAAAACAUCUUUGAGCAUGGCCUACUUUCAGAAUAUUUUACUGAAAAUUAGUAUUGUUAUGUGAUGAAUAGUAUAAUCAUGGGAAUAAAUCAUAUUAGGCAGUCCUGACUAAGAAGUAUGCAUGCUGGUGGGUGCUUCCAUGUGUUGAUUAGUCAACUAAUUACCAUAUUUAUGUCAUGCAGUAAUUUUAAUGAGGGAUCAGUGCUAUGAGCCCGCAUAUUCCUACGAAAUCAAAAGAACAUGGCGUCGCAUAGUUUAUCAUGUCAUUAACUGGCAGACAGAUUAACAGAAAACCUACAGUAAUGAGUUUUUUUAUGCUCUUUUUUUCUUAUGUAGUUUUUCUUUUUUAGUGGGAAAGAAGGGGCACUGCUGGUAUUUCCUUGUUGAUGCCAAACUUAUUUUUAUUGAUCAUACAGUGAUUGCAGUGUAGUGAAUUGCUUUAGUAUUGGAGACAUAGAUGCCUAUAGCCUGCAAUGCCUGCAAUAUUGACCUUAUAAAUUAUCAAUAUAAUCUACAUGGUGAAGUUUGACUUCCAGGGAUUUUCUGAUGCUUGCCUAUUCUAUUUUCUCUCUUGGUUUGCCUUGAGGCAUGAGCUUCAUAAAAUUUUUACCUCUGAAGUUUCUGUUUUCUGCCACUUAUAAAGAAAUACUACACUUUCCAGAUUCUUUGGGCUUCAUAUCUGUUUGUAACCAGGAUUUUAAAACUCGGUUUGGUCUCCAAGUUAAGCUUUGGUUUUGGUAGUUUCACUCUAAGUUUCAAAGUUUUGGUAAAGUGAAGAAAAAAUCCAUAAAAAAUAAAAAUUAGGAUAAAUAAAAGAAACUGAGGCAAGUUAUUUUACAUCAUUUUAUUAUGUUUUGAGUUAUUUGCAGUGAUAAUUUGUGCAGCUUAGGUAGUUUUAGGCUGAAAAUUCUUGUACCCUCUAAUAAUUUCCCCUCAGAGAUUUUUUUUCACCCUUUUGGAAGUUUGAGGAUUAUAUAUCUUCAAACUACUAAAACAAACCUAUCUAUUCAAUUAGAAACUUAGGAUAGACUGAGGAUAGAGACACUACACACCAGGUAGAAUCCUAUCUCUAAUGUCCUUAAUAGUGACUGCAAGUAGCCCUUUAUUUAUCAAUAAUCACAUGCUAUCAACAAACAAAUGAGUAUAGAUAGAGAUAGAAAAGCAAAAAAAAAAAAAGGCAUUCCGGGUUGUCGAGCCUAACCACCCCUCUUUUUUCUCUUCUUUUUCUGCAGCAUCUAAGCUUUGUUGUAAUGUUUCAAAUUUGAAAUCACAUUUCAUAAAAAAAUUGAGAUCACAUAAAUGUCUUAAUGCCUGAUGAUCGAUGCGGUAAUGAAUAAAUUUGUGUUUGAAUGAAAUUAUUGAUGAAUAAUAUUAAUGAUUAAAUGAUAUUAAUGAGUUUUAUAAAAUAGUAAGCACAUUUACUCUGGCAAUUUGAAAAAAGGAAAAAAAAACAAAAACAGCUGUUUCGGUCAGUUUUGGCUAAAACUGACCAGAACCAACCGAAACCGACCGAAACUGACAGAAACUUGAAACUCUCUUGUAACACAAGCCUUCUAUUCCGUAAAACUGGUCUUACUUUUGUGAACAAUUGGAGAGAUUUUGCUUCAUGUAGAUAGACAUCAAUAAGAAGGUAAGGAAGAGCAUCACAUGUUUUGAAACUGGUUUUGAAUGUUUUGUUUUAGCUCCACCCUAAAGAAGUUUCACUUUCUAAACCUUCUAAAAGUAUGUGCAACAACUCAUUGGGAAUAUUGAAUAAGUUAUCAUCAGCUGAAAUCUUACGAACUUCAGUACUAAGCCUUAACUAAGAGGCUUUACCUGUCUCUCUGGGUCUGGUUUUAUGAUCCUCAUGUAUUGGGUUGUGCUCUGAUCACCAUUAAUGUUUGUGUUCUUUUUUUAGUUUUGUAACUUUUGGGUGAAUUUCAGAUUUCAUUAACUGGAAAAGAGACCUGGAGUCGUCAUCUCUGUUGUAUCUACCCUUGACAUACCUUAGAGGACUUGCAUCCUAAAUUUACCAGAUAAAUUUAGGGAAGGAUGUCUGCUAAACCAUGGAUACUUACAAAUCACAUCCCUUUCACUGUUUUCGCUCCCCUCUAACCAAAAAAAAAAAAACACAAGAACUGCUAAGGGACAAGGGAAAACAGUGCUGCUUUUCCCAGGUCGAUGUUUGGAAUUAUAUCAAUCUAUAGAAAGGAAAGUCACAAAUUAUUGUGCUUGGUUUUUCAAUACUGAAGAUAAAAGGAAGCAUUUUAUGGACAUCUGAACCUGGAAUAUUUAUUCUCCUUUUUUGUUUAACUUCUUGGUUUUCAUAUAUGAUGUUGAUCUAUUAACUCCCUGCUUAUUUCAGGUCCAAGCUCUUGUUGGUUUCGAAAAGACCAUCAAGCAUCUUGAUGAACAUUUAGUGGAAAUUGGCACAAAGGUUUGCAAAUAACCAUGAUCUUGGUCAGCCAUAUGAACUUGUCAAUUUUCCUCCACUUUUUAAAUGAUUUGGUCAAAAUUUGCAGGGAAUCACUAAACCUAAAGAGGUGAGGAAGUUCAAAGGGGAAGGCAUGCCUUUGCACCUAAGUACAAAGAAAGGAGAUUUGUAUGUGACGUAUGAAGUUUUGUUCCCCAAGUCACUAACCGAAGAUCAGAAGACUAGGAUCAAGGCAAUUCUUUCUUAAAGCUGGCGUUCUCUCCAUUGGUACUACUUGGUUCUCCUUUGUACUUUGACUAGGUUUAAUUGGAAGGUGUACAGCCCCUGGAAUUUUCCCAAGUGGCUCCUAUUUGAAUGAUGUCAUUGACUGUAAUCCUUGUUGGCUGCCUGUUUCCAUAGGAUGCUGUCACCUCUUCUCUUUUUUUCCCCCUUUCUUUUUUUUUAAAAUUUUUUUGGGCAAUAGAUGUACUUUAGAAAAGGAAACUGAUUAAUUGGAAUUUGAUCCUGAUCUUUCUCUCCCUUAUCUCAACUAGGGCGAAAGAAAAACAUAUAUUAUAGAAUCAUGCUUGGUUAUGUAAUUCCAUUUCCACGAGACAAUUUAUGUGGACACUGCUCUCAAAAUGUAUCCAAAAUGAUGAAUUAAGAUUUUCCUUGUUAUAUUUUGUUCAUUGUUAUAUUCAUUGUUUGGCUGGUUGAUAAUCUUGUUCUUCCCAUUUAUUCUCUUUUUAUUUCUCUUUGUUGGUCUAAAAAUCCUAUUAGUUAAUGUAGAACAUGCCGUGUCAUCCUUUGUAGUAUGACAUUGAUGGUUUUGCUACAUUAUGAUCUUAUUAUGUCUCCUUUGAGAUGUGGAUAUGUAAGUAGAUUUAGGCUCAAUGCUGAAAGAUCUUAUUGAACUCCUGUUAGCGAUCAGCAUCCAGGUGACAAACCAGUCCCCAAAUCAUGAAAUCAUCUUGAAAAAGGGAUGAGUUAUCUUUGAAGACCACUGAUUUGUUGUUCGCUGGCAGCUCUAAUCUCUAUUGAAUGGUGCCAUAUUGAUAUAUUUUUUGAGAUAGAACCUGAGAUAGAAUCCUGAUCUCCUAGCAUUCAAAGCACUCAAGGGCAAGGGUGCUGAUAUGCGAAGAUGCUUUGGUACAUAUUUUGUAAUCUAUCCACCAGCCGGCUGCUGAUGCCCAACUCGUUCUUGCCAGGGGGAUGGACAAAUUAUCCAACAUUUAACCUGCAUAGCCUGUGUACUGCUGAUUGCUUAUUUAACCCUCUUGCCUGCAUUGCAAGACCAUAUUUAUUAGAGUUGUUUGUAUUAUUUGUUUCUGUUUUUUUUUCCUUUUCCUUCUUAUAGCUGUUUAGGUAAAAUCAAAUAAAUAUAAAGNNNNNNNNNNNNNNNNNNNNUUAUUGUCAUGCAGUAAUUUUAAUGAGGGAUCAGUGCUAUGAGCCCGCAUAUUCCUGCGAAAUCAAAAGAACAUGGCGUUGCAUAGUUUAGCAUGUCAUUAACUGGCAGAUAGAUUAACAGAAAACCUACAGUAAUGAGUUUUUUGAUGCUUCUUUUUUUCUUAUGUAGUUUUUCUUUUUUAGUGGGAAAGAAGGGGCACUGCUGGUAUUUCCUUGUUGAUGCCAAACUUAUUUUUAUUGAUCAUACAGUGAUUGCAGUGUAGUUGCUUUAGUAUUGGAGACAUAGAUGCCUAUAGCCUACAAUGCCUGCAAUAUUGACCUUAUAAAUUAUCAAUAUAAUCUACAUGGUGAAGUUUGACUUCCAGGGAUUUUCUGAUGCUUGCCUAUUCUAUUUUCUCUCUUGGUUUGCCUUGAGGCAUGAGCUUCAUAAAAUUUUUACCUCUGAAGUUUUUGUUUUCUGCCACUUAUAAAGAAAUACUACACUUUCCAGAUUCUUUGGGCUUCAUAUCUGUUUGUAACCAGGAUUUUAAAACUCGGUUUGGUCUCCAAGUUGAGCUUUGGUUUCGGUAGUUUCACUCUAAGUUUCAAAGCUUUGGUAAAGUGAAGAAAAAAUCCAUAAAAAAUAAAAAUUAGGAUAAAUAAAAGAAACUGAGGCAAGUUAUUUUACAUCAUUUUAUUAUGUUUUGAGUUAUUUGCAGUGAUAAUUUGUGCAGCUUAGGUAGUUUUAGGCUGAAAAUUCUUGUACCCUCUAAUAAUUUCCCCUCAGAGAUUUUUUUUCACCCUUUUGGAAGUUUGAGGAUUAUAUAUCUUCAAACUACUAAAACAAACCUAUCUAUUCAAUUAGAAACUUAGGAUAGACUGAGGAUAGAGACACUACACACCAGGUAGAAUCCUAUCUCUAAUGUCCUUAAUAGUGACUGCAAGUAGC